ACAGGUGCUGCACGGCUGUCGUCAGCUCGUGUCGUGAGAUGUUGGGUUAAGUCCGUAACGAGCGCAACCCUUGUCCUUAGUUACCAGCACGUUAUGGUGGGCACUCUAAGGAGACUGCCGGUGCAAACCGGAGGAAGGUGGGGAUGACGUCAAGUCAUCAUGGCCCUUACGGCCUGGGCUACACACGUGCUACAAUGGUCGGUACAAAGGGUUGCCAAGCCACGAGGUGGAGCUAAUCCCAUAAAACCGAUCGUAGUCCGGAUCGCAGUCUGCAACUCGACUGCGUGAAGUCGGAAUCGCUAGUAAUCGUGAAUCAGAAUGUCACGGUGAAUACGUUCCCGGGCCUU
rnacentral:rRNA from 1 species